rnacentral:tRNA from 1 species
GCCCGCGUAGCUCAGAGGAAAGAGCACUUGUUUCCGAAACAAAAGGUCCCGAGUUCGAUUCUCGGCGUGGGUAC